rnacentral:lncRNA from 1 species
GCAAGUAGGACUGUUGAUUUGAUUGGUGGGAUUAGAAAAAGGUAUGUUUCCUCUAUGGUUAGUCUUCUGAAAGCAUAUCAUGGUAGCAAUUGGUGUAUAAAGUGUGGUGGCAUUGAUUUUCAACCACAAAUUACUCCAGAAAAGUGUUGAGGUGCAUAAUUGUUACCUAGAUAUACCUUCGGAAGACCUGUCACAGAGGAGCUUACUUUUUCCUAAUCCUAUUAUUUAAGUUCAUUGUCCUAUUUGUCAAGCUAUGGUUGAGAUUUAUGGCAAGUAGGACGGUUGAUUUGAUUGGUGGGAUUAGAAAAAGGUAUGUUUCCUCUAUGGCUGGUCUUCUAAAAGCUUAUCAUGGUAGCAACUGGUGUAUAAAGCGUGGUGGCACUAAUUUUCAACCUCAACCUACUCCAGAAAAGUGCUAAGGUGCAUAAUUGUUACCUAUAUAUACCUUCAGAAGACCUGUCAUAGAGGAGCUUACUUUUUCCUAAUCCUAUUAUUUAAGUUCAUUGUCCUACUUGUCAAGCUUUGUUUGAGAUUUAUUUAUGACAAGUAGGACUGGAUUUUAUUGGUAGGAUUAGAAAAAGGUAUGUUUCCUCUAUGGCUGGUCUUCUAAAAGCAUAUCAAGGUAGCAACUGGUGUAUAAAGUGUGGUGACAUUGAUUUUCAACCACAAACUACUCCAGAAAAGUGUUGAGGUGCAUAACUGUUACCUAGAUAUACCUUCAGAAGACCUGUCACAGAGGAGCUUACUUUUUCCUAAUCCUAUUAUUUAAGUUCAUUGUCCUACUUGUCAAGCUAUGGUUGAGAUUUAUGGCAAGUAGGACUGUGGGUUUGAUUGGUGGGAUUAGAAAAAGGUAUGUUUCCUCUAUGGGUGGUCUUCUAAAAGCAUAUCAAGGUAGCAACUGGAGUAUAAAAAGUAGUGGCAUUGAUUUUCAACUACAAACUACUCUAGAAAAGUGAAAAGUGUUGAGGUGCAUAAUUGUUACCUAGAUAUACCUUCGGACGAUCAGUCACAGAGGAGCUUACUUUUUCCUAAUCCUAUUAUUUAUGUUCAUUGUCCGACUUGUCAAGCUCUGGUUGAGAUCUAUGGCAAGUAGGAUUGUGGAUUUGAUUGGUGGGAUUAGAAAAAGGUAUGCUUCCUCUGUGGAAGGUCUUCUAAAAGCAUAUCAAGGUAGCAACUGGGGUGGCGGUAUUGAUGUGCAACCACAAACUAUACUCUCCAGGAAAGCGUUGAUGUGCAUACUAAUCAGAACAAGAAUAUUGAUGUUCAUAUCGUUCCAUGAGCAUGUCAGCUUGGGUAAACAAACUAUACGUUUUGGAAGCUCAAGAAUAAAGAAAGAAUUUUGCUGCCAAAGAAGUAGUUUUUUUUUCUUAAUUUCCCAUCUGGUGUUUGAUGUAGCAAAAGAAGUAGUUACAACAUAGAAAGAACUUGUCAUCUCAUAUUUUCCAAUUUUGAAAUUGAAUCACGUUUUGUAUUUAAGAGCUACUGCCAUUAUUCAAUAUUCAAUAUCUUCAUCAUUUAUAAACUUCACAUAAUAAAUAUUUUUUUUUGGAAACGGCUGAAAAGGCGAUGGCAAGAAAAAUCGAUUGUUGGCAUUCCAC